rnacentral:rRNA from 1 species
UGGAGAGUUUGAUUCUGGCUCAGAACGAACGCUGGCGGCGUGGAUAAGACAUGCAAGUCGAACGGGAGAAUUGCUAGCUUGCUAAUAAUUCUCUAGUGGCGCACGGGUGAGUAACACGUGAGUAACCUGCCUCUUAGUGGGGGAUAGCCCUGGGAAACCGGGAUUAAUACCGCAUACGAUUGAAAGAUCAAAGCAGCAAUGCGCUAGGAGAUGGGCUCGCGGCCUAUUAGUUAGUUGGUGAGGUAACGGCUCACCAAGGCGAUGACGGGUAGCCGGUCUGAGAGGAUGUCCGGCCACACUGGAACUGAGACACGGUCCAGACACCUACGGGUGGCAGCAGUCGAGAAUCAUUCACAAUGGGGGCAACCCUGAUGGUGCGACGCCGCGUGGGGGAAUGAAGGUCUUCGGAUUGUAAACCCCUGUCAUGUGGGAGCAAAUUAAAAAGAUAGUACCACAAGAGGAAGAGACGGCUAACUCUGUGCCAGCAGCCGCGGUAAUACAGAGGUCUCAAGCGUUGUUCGGAAUCACUGGGCGUAAAGCGUGCGUAGGCUGUUUCGUAAGUCGUGUGUGAAAGGCAGGGGCUCAACCCCUGGAUUGCACAUGAUACUGCGAGACUAGAGUAAUGGAGGGGGAACCGGAAUUCUCGGUGUAGCAGUGAAAUGCGUAGAUAUCGAGAGGAACACUCGUGGCGAAGGCGGGUUCCUGGACAUUAACUGACGCUGAGGCACGAAGGCCAGGGGAGCGAAAGGGAUUAGAUACCCCUGUAGUCCUGGCAGUAAACGGUGCACGCUUGGUGUGCGGGGAAUCGACCCCCUGCGUGCCGGAGCUAACGCGUUAAGCGUGCCGCCUGGGGAGUACGGUCGCAAGAUUAAAACUCAAAGAAAUUGACGGGGACCCGCACAAGCGGUGGAGUAUGUGGCUUAAUUCGAUGCAACGCGAAGAACCUUACCUGGGCUUGACAUGUAAUGAACAACAUGUGAAAGCAUGCGACUCUUCGGAGGCGUUACACAGGUGCUGCAUGGCCGUCGUCAGCUCGUGUCGUGAGAUGUUUGGUUAAGUCCAGCAACGAGCGCAACCCCUGUUGCCAGUUACCAGCACGUCAAGGUGGGGACUCUGGCGAGACUGCCCAGAUCAACUGGGAGGAAGGUGGGGACGACGUCAGGUCAGUAUGGCCCUUAUGCCCAGGGCUGCACACGUACUACAAUGCCCAGUAC